rnacentral:rRNA from 1 species
UACGAAGGGGGCUAGCGUUGCUCGGAAUUACUGGGCGUAAAGCGCACGUAGGCGGCUUUUUAAGUCGGGGGUGAAAUCCUGGAGCUCAACUCCAGAACUGCCUUCGAUACUGGAAAGCUCGAGUCCGGGAGAGGUGAGUGGAACUGCGAGUGUAGAGGUGAAAUUCGUAGAUAUUCGCAAGAACACCAGUGGCGAAGGCGGCUCACUGGCCCGGUACUGACGCUGAUGUGCGAAAGCGUGGGGAGCAACAGG